GCGGGUAUCGUCAAGUGGUUAAGACCUCGGAUUGUGGUUCCGAUAUACAUGGGUUCGAAUCCCAUUACCCGCCCCA
rnacentral:tRNA from 1 species